CUGCAAUGAUGACGACUUAGGACACCUUUUGGAUUAAUACUGAAAAGAAUUGCAUUGUCCUGAGCAGC